rnacentral:rRNA from 1 species
UACGUAGGGUCCGAGCGUUGUCCGGAAUUAUUGGGCGUAAAGAGCUCGUAGGCGGUCUGUCGCGUCUGCUGUGAAAACUCAGGGCUUAACCCUGAGCUUGCAGUGGGUACGGGCAGACUAGAGUGCGGUAGGGGAGACUGGAAUUCCUGGUGUAGCGGUGAAAUGCGCAGAUAUCAGGGAGGAACACCGGUGGCGAAGGCGGGGUCUCUGGGCCGUAACUGACGCUGGAGGAGCGGAAAGCAUCGGGGAGCGAACAGG